rnacentral:tRNA from 1 species
UAGAUUGAAGCCAGUUGUCUGGGGUGUUUAGCUGUUAACUAAUUUUUCGUGGGUUAAAAUCCCAUCAAUCUAG